rnacentral:lncRNA from 1 species
UCUUCUUUAUUUUGCACCGACUGAAGAACUAUGCUUGGUCAUAGGAGGUUUUCUUUGUCGGGUUCUAAGUUGAAGUGGAGUACUUCUCGGGGGUGUUUUUACUGUUGUUUUUGUGUUCGUCAUCCGUGUUCUCUGCUGGUUUUUGCUAUGGUAUGACUUACAAUUUGUAUGGGUGGCAAAGGACUAUGAUUUUGUUCAUAGAAGGAUUCUUUUGACAGUUGGGAUGUU